rnacentral:rRNA from 1 species
AGUGAACGCUGGCGGUAGGCCUAACACAUGCAAGUCGAACGGCAGCACAGUAAGAGCUUGCUCUUACGGGUGGCGAGUGGCGGACGGGUGAGGAAUACAUCGGAAUCUACUUUUUCGUGGGGGAUAACGUAGGGAAACUUACGCUAAUACCGCCUACGACCUACGGGUGAAAGCAGGGGAUCUUCGGGCCUUGCGCGAUUGAAUGAGCCGAUGUCGGAUUAGCUAGUUGGCGGGGUAAAGGCCCACCAAGGCGACGAUCCGUAGCUGGUCUGAGAGGAUGAUCAGCCACACUGGAACUGAGACACGGUCCAGACUCCUACGGGAGGCAGCAGUGGGGAAUAUUGGACAAUGGGCGCAAGCCUGAUCCAGCCAUACCGCGUGGGUGAAGAAGGCCUUCGGGUUGUAAAGCCCUUUUGUUGGGAAAGAAAAGCAGCAGGUUAAUACCCCGCUGUUCUGACGGUACCCAAAGAAUAAGCACCGGCUAACUUCGUG